rnacentral:rRNA from 1 species
UACGGGGGGGGGCAAGCGUUGUUCGGAAUUACUGGGCGUAAAGGGCUCGUAGGUGGCCAACUAAGUCAGACGUGAAAUCCCUCAGCUUAACUGGGGAACUGCGUCUGAUACUGGAUGGCUUGAGUUUGGGAGAGGGAUGCGGAAUUCCAGGUGUAGCGGUGAAAUGCGUAGAUAUCAGGAGGAACACCGGUGGCGAAGGCGGCUACCUGGACAGAAACUGACGCUGAGACGCGAAAGCGUGGGGAGCAAACAGG